UUAGUAGGAAGGGGCGUAGGACAAGGCGAGUGUCUGUGGCCCUCUGGUGGAGUAGUAAGACAUAAGGGGCGCAGGAGAACACACCUCGAGAGCUUUAACAACUCCCCGAGAUGGACAGACGAAACGCCCAUCCGAGGCUUUUGGUCACUUUACAUACAGGUCAUAUACGAGUGCCUAACUGCGCGGCGGUUGUUGAACAUAAAUCUCCAGUUGUUUAAUAAGGAAAAGCUGGUGAACUUGUGGGGGAAUUUUCUGACGUGUGAGGUCAGUGGAUUGAACUUUUUUGGCCUUAAAAUAAAAGCUAGUGUGAUCUUACCUGGUUAAAUCUUCGCGCCAAGAUGCUGUACAGUCGGCAGAUGUCAAGUCAACAACAGCUUCGGGUCUUAGUGGACCAGUUGCAGAGGGAGGCAAACAUAGAACGCAUGAACACUUCGGAAGCCAUUAACCAGCUGAAGGAGUAUGUCCGCGAGCACCAAAAGGACGACUACUUAUGCCACCCCAUGAGGAACCCUCGAGCCAACCCAUUCCGAGAGAAGAGCAUCUGCCACAUCCUCUAGACCUUUUUAAGCAAGCGUUUUUUAAGCUUCGCCGUGUUGUUUAACAAUGUUAGAACAAAAUGCAGCUGAUCUGUGUUUUAGAUUUGAGUCGAGCAGCGAAUUUGUACACUUAAUGCCAACAGGUAGAUUUUGUAAGUUGAUAAGGUGACUUGACUUGGUAUCCCAUGUUAGUGGAAUUGCAAUAUUAUUCCCAUUUUUAUUUAGUUAUUAUCUGACUCUUAUGAUAUUUAGAAUCUUGGACUUAGUAUAGAUCUGAUAGAAGAGUAUAAAGGAAGUAUAUAUUCACUGUACAACAGUAUUUUUGCUUUUAUUUCAUAUUAUUUAGUUUGAGUGUUUUAUGUGUUCUUAUACAUAAACAGGAACUGUAUCUUCAAAAGAGGCUGCAGUCUGUUUGUGCUAAUAUUUUAUGGUUAUUAACAUUGUACCUCCAUAAAGGUGCAUCAGAGUAGCUUAAGCUCACCAAAGAUCGUCAGUUUGGCAACAGAAUCCAAAGGAUGAGAGAUUAUUAGAACUAAGAUUGAUAUUAAAACCUCCAUUUUGAAAAGUUUUGAGAAGUUCUUAUUUGGUUAAGGUAUUUUUUACUCCUAUCUCAGGCAGAAUUUUUUAUCAUUUAAAUUACAAUAAUAGUGAGUGAGUAUGUGAUAAAUGCAUGUGAGGGAGUCUGUGUGAAAUGCACUUGAAUGAAUGUGAGUGUGUGUGAGUACUACACAUGUACGUGCUUGAGUUUGUUAGUUUGCAUAGAUGUAGGCAGGCUUGCACAAAUGGGCGUGUCUUUUGUGUAAAUAUACAUAGAUAUGUAUGUAUAUAUGUAUCUGUAACUUUUUACAAUAUGUGCGAGUGUGUCAGCAUUUGUAUAUGAGGGUUUGUGUGUGUGUAUACUGUAUGUAGGUGCAUAAAGGUCCACAUUUAAGUACACUGACGUAAGCAAUAGCGCACAUAUCAACUUUUUAGUUAUUUAGAUAAUUUUUCUGAAAUAGGUUGACCUUCAGCUAUGUAGCAAGUGACACAUUUAUUUCAUUAGAGAUUUUAAUAAUGUAUAAUUAUGCCUUCAAAGAUCUGUUUCUAUACCAUGUCAAGCGCUGUUUCUAAUCCAUGCAGGAAGUUAGCUAUUUCUAAAGCAUUAGAAAUUUAUGAGCUAUUUAUUAGCUGUUAGCUAUUUCUAACACAUCAUAUGCAUUUCAUACUAAAGCACUUUAAGAUUGUCAAGCCGAUUAAUAAGAAUGGUCUUCAGGAUGUUAUUAGGAUUUUUACAACCCUUUUUUGGAUAGAUUUGAAAACCUUGUUAUGUUUAUUUUCAUUUUGAAGUUAUAUUUAUACAUGAUUUAUUUUUUUCUCUUUCUUUGACACAAUAAUUCCCUGUGUAUUCUUGAUGAAGGUGAUGAUUAAUGGUUAUUUCAAGAUUGGAUAAUGGAAUGGAGAAAUAAUUUUUCUGUAAAAUUUGAAUAUAACAUCCUGAUUUGGGCUGAUCUUUGUGUUUUUAAAAACCGGUGAAAAGAUGUUGGUGUUAAUCUGACUAAAAAGAAUUUAGGACAUAACUUGGUAUUGAAAAUAACACAAAUGGGGCAUGGAAACAGUUGAAAAAGAAAAGUAAAUAGAUAACUAUUUAUGUCCCAAGUCUUUCAUAAAAUCAUCUUCAACACUUUUACCUUACUCAUAGAAACUUAAAAAAAAAAAAAACUGUUUGUACAUAUAUACUUAAUGUUUGAAAAAGUCUAGCGUAUAUGCUAAGGUCCAUAAAAUGUUGUAUGGGAUGUGGUGGUCUGAAGAUGUUUCCUUUAUCUUCUUGAAUCCCAUUUGACAUUCUGAGAAAUUUAUAUUGUGGGUAUAUUAAAGAGAGUUUUAUAUAAGCCUUCAUCUUCCUCUCUUUCCUUAGUUUAUGUCAAAGUUUUAGUCAUUGGUUUCCGGUUUUGUUGUGUGUUUUUUGGCAUCCCAGUUCGUUUCUAUUUUUCAUUGUGAUUAUCUUGUUUAGGACUUCCUUUAACUCCUCACGGACAGGUCUCGCAACAUCGCGCUAGCAUCCACUAGCCUCGUACUCAUUCAGUCCCCGUAAGAUGUUAAUAAAAGAUGAAAAUUGACACUUUCAUUCUUUCUUAUUGAAUUUAGAUUAUUCUGAAUCAUUAUGAAGUAUUUUUAUAAGGGAUGAUAUAACUUGUAUGAAUGUACAUUUUCCCCCCCCCAAAAAAAAUAGUUUGUGGGUGUUGCGUGGUCAGCUUAAACCCAUCUGUGAGGAAACUAAAAUCCAUAAAAGCUGUGUUGUUUCAAACAAGAUAAAGAAUGGGUGACAAAGAGUCUUAUGCUCUGGCAUUUUUUUCUCCAAAUUAAAUGAUAACUUCC